GACGUAGGGCGCGAGCGUUGUCCGGAUUUAUUGGGCGUAAAGAGCUCGUAGGCGGUGUGUCGCGUCGGCCGUGAAAACCUGCAGCUUAACUGUGGGCGUGCGGUCGAUACGGGCAUCACUGGAGUUCGGCAGGGGAGACUGGAAUUCCUGGUGUAGCGGUGAAAUGCGCAGAUAUCGGUAGGAACACCAAUGGCGAAGGCAGCUUGCUGGGCAUUUCCUGACACUAAGGCACGAAAGCGUGGGGAGCGAACAGG
rnacentral:rRNA from 1 species